rnacentral:rRNA from 1 species
GCAAAACGCGAAGAACCUUACCAGGCCUUGACAUGCAGAGAACUUUCCAGAGAUGGAUUGGUGCCUUCGGGAACUCUGACACAGGUGCUGCAUGGCUGUCGUCAGCUUGUGUCGUGAGAUGUUGGGUUAAGUCCCGUAACGAGCGCAACCCUUGUCCUUAGUUACCAGCACGUUAUGGUGGGCACUCUAAGGAGACUGCCGGUGACAAACCGGAGGAAGGUGGGGAUGACGUCAAGUCAUCAUGGCCCUUACGGCCUGGGCUACACACGUGCUACAAUGGUCGGUACAGAGGGUUGCCAAGCCGCGAGGUGGAGCUAAUCUCACAAAACCGAUCGUAGUCCGGAUCGCAGUCUGCAACUCGACUGCGUGAAGUCGGAAUCGCUAGUAAUCGCGAAUCAGAAUGUCGCGGUGAAUACGUUCCCGGGUCUUGUACACACCG